UUUGCAUUCUAGCCUUUGCACUGGAAGAAGACACAGAAGGGGAAUUUAGCUUAAUCUGGAAGUGACCCGAUCAUGUCGCUUUGGGGCACCGCAGCCGCGGUGGAGCCCAGCCCGAGCCGCACCUUCCCGAGCAGGACGCGCCUCUGUCCGCACUGAGCGCUCUCAGCAGCGCCCCCUGCCCGCGGCCGGCGCGGCAGCGGCGAGUGCAGCGCUGCUCAAUCGAGCACAGCCCACCAUUCAUAAAACGGGGGUCGCGCAGCGCUCAGCGGCGGCCGUGCGCUGCUGGAAACCGAGCAAAUCGGAACACCGCUCUGUAUUUUUUCACCCUAAAAUAUAUAUACAGCUCCAGCUAAAAUGAGCGUAUUUGAACCCAGGUUUCCUAAAACUCAUCAGUAAGUGAGCCCCAGAAGUCAUCUGAAGCUAGACACAGCAACUUAGGUGGAGAAACCAUACUACAGCAUCUAACCCUCCUCCACAUACAUCUCUCUGCUCCUGCAGCUAAACAUGGCAAAGUCUGUUCAUGUUCUGAAUCAAACUGCAGAGCUGUAGAUUAUGAGCUUGGUUGAUGCUGAGGCUGCUCGUGCCCACACAUACACAUUCGGUGUGCUGGCAACAAGCCAGAAGAGAAGGGCUGAAGUCCCUCAGCGAGGACACAGCAGAACUGGGAUUCUGGACAGCUGGGCUCUGAGUAGUUGCUCUCCCUCUACUCUUCUGACCAGAGAGUGCAAGAAGGAGCACUUAAUGCAGGUAUCGUCCAGAAUUGACAACAAGGCCAGAAGACCUUCACCAUGGACCUGAAGUGCUGAAGACGAUAAAUCCCUGAAUAAGUGAUUCAGCUAAAGAAGCAGAGAUAACCAAAAGCUCCCCCCAAAGCUCUGCACACACCAGCCAAGCACUCGUGUGCAGGGUAACAGGGAGCUGGGCAGAGCCUCUCCUCUCACAUCUUGCAGGGAGAGCAACACUCAGAGAGGUUGAAACGCCCUCCCCCCUCCAUUUCCCUACUAAUUACACCCUCACCACGCAUUGCUCCAGGGUGGCUGUUUAAAUCUGCAACAGUGAAUUGUGACAUGGUCUGUCAACUAUCUAUCACUGCAAAUUGUGAAACACCUGCAAAGCAAGACUGCAUUCGUUUGUGCAACAGGGGUUGAAACUCGCUUGCAGAAAACUAAGAAGCUUUAAGGUAACAACUAUUUCACUCGAUGCUAAGGAGUCUGAAAAAUGACACUGCUUGUGAAAGCUGCUCAAAGUCAUCAACAAUUAGCACCUGGUCAGCAGUAAAGUGAACGUCCUUUGUAUGGAGUUCUUAAAUUGUAACUAAAAUAAUUUACCAUCUGACUUAUUUCGUUAAGGAUAUCCCAAGAACUUUAUAAGGAUCAGGGUCUGUUUCAUAAGACACCAUUUUUAGGGACUGCAGAAAGCAUAAUCUUACAGAUGGAAUCUAACUCAAACCAUUUACAAGCACAAAAUCCAGCUAGUCACUUCUUCCUCUUUACGUAAGCACCACUUCUUAUUAAUUUAAUAAUAUUAUUGAUAAGGUCUGAGUUACAGAGCUUGCUAUUACCUCAACUUACUAGUCAACAAGAGUCUGGGAAUCACCCCCAUAUUCUUAGUUUUUAAAAGACCUGACUGUACAGACACAAGUAUCUACUCCACUGCUCAUGUACUCAGUUGCAUACAUUUUUCAUGCCUCCCUCAGUGGCCCUGGUACACAAGCUGCUAUUUUUAGAUGCUGGACUACGUGUAGCCCUUGCCAAGUAAAAGAAGCCAAUAAGGCGGCAGAGAGGGUCACCCAGCUUUGCUGCUGCUCAAAAAAGUUUUUGUUAAAUAUUUACACAGGAAAAGAAUGGUUUAAGACUGAAUAAGGGGGGGUUUUGCCUAAAAUCAAAUUACAGAAAGUUAGAGGCAGUUGAGAGCACCAUCCUGAUUAACGACCUCUCACAAAUUCUUUUUUAAGAAAUCUAGAGCAAAUUGCCCACAUUUAGUUAAUUUUGCAUGUUAGUGAAUAAACUCCAAGAAGCUUAAUUAAGGCAAGCUCAUCUUCACAAAUGUUUGUUGGCCCAAAUACAACUGUACAGCUGUAUUCACCACAUGAGAAAGCAUCACCGCUAUCAGAAAUCUUGUAACCACUAAAUGUAUGAUUAUUCAACCAUGACUCUGUCAAAGGCACUGAGGGAAGAAGUGGAUACUUUUCUAAGUCACUGUGAGGCUUGAAAGAAAGCAGGACUUUUCUUCAAGUGUCACAUGGCCAAUCACACAAACAAAAUAAACUUUGUUUCCAAUUAACACAUUGCUUCAGCUACAACAAACUGGGGGGAAAAAAACACAUUUAUCAUCAAAAUAUUUGCCAUGUUGAGACAGGAAAAAAAGAAAGAAAAAGAUUAAGUAUCCCCACAACCAAGUACUGACACAACCAAGAUGUUAGAUGCUUUACAACACCAGAUCAAUCCAACUUGCACUGACAGUAUGUUCUGAAUAUACAAAGUUGAUUAUCUGCAUAUACUGAAUUGGUCUGAUCCCACAGCUGACCCUGCUCCAAACAGGAGGUUGGACUACAAGCCUCCUGUGGUCCCUCCCAGUCUAAAUUACCAUAGAAUUUUGAAUUCAUUUCACCAAGUUACUGAAGGGAAGGAGCAGAAAAACAAUUUCAUGUUUUCCAGAAAAAGAGGCAGCUUCCUAAAAUAGGAGACAUGGCAACUCUCCAAAUGGGAGCUAUAACAGCAGCAGACAGUUCCCUGCUCCAGACACUCUGUACUCCAGAAUACACCCAAUUUUCAAUGGCAGAGAAGCAAGGUGGCUGCCUGCCACUACCGUCAAUGGGAGAAGAAUAGGACUCUCAUCCAACCUAAGGAAAUACCACUAUGGAUCACUACCAUCAGCACUACCAACAGAUCUGUCUGCCUAGAGGAAGGCAGGAAAACAGCCACAUCUUGGCUGUAUUCUUGGUGAAUUCAGAAUGACUCCUUGGCACUCUGGUCCUGUUGAGUGUGUGGUUUAUUUAGCUACAUUGUUUUUCAGUCACAGGAGCUGUUAUUCUUAUCUUCUUUUACCAACUUAUGAGGCACAUUAAAGGUAGAACAUUCAACGUGGGAGUUUUCACUGUAUACUCUCUCAAGAUGCACCCAGAAAUCUCCCAUUGAGACAUGCACCCAACUUCCAUAGUGUACUUCACUGUACAGUAGCCAAAAAGCAAGCCAGAUGCAAGUUAUAUGGAGAGAAAACCAGAAAAGCUGCAUCCGGACUUUCGCACAUAAUUGUGACUGUAGAAAAACUAAUUUUUUGUCAAAAGAGAUGCUAUUUCAAGUAGUACAAACCUAAUUUUCCCAGAGUACAUUACCAGUUCACAUAGUUGUUCUUCCUCCUCAUGUCCCCUCCUUCUACAUACCAGACAGAGCAUAGACAGAAGAAAUUCCAUACAUACAUCCAAAAAAACCUCUGAGAAAACAGGGAUAGAAUUUGCAACCCAAUUUCAGACAUGCAGAAGAGCUAAAGGGCAGUAAGAAGUCCUUCCAAAAGGACUUGUGGUUUAGGGUUUUUGUAAAGUUGCUUUCUAUUUGUGCACUAGAAAGAAUACAUUGACACAGUAACUACAGCAGCCAAUUUGCAUCAAAAACCACUGGUUAUUAAAAUACCAGAAAAAAAGAGGAAAUGCACUUCUUCCUACAGUAUGACUUAGUAAUUUGCUAAUUCUCAAGGUGACCCAACAUAUCUGCAGCUAUGCCUCCAUCCUCCUUUCCAUGAGAGGGAACAGAGAGCCUGGCCAGCCACAAUAUACUUCAGGGCAAACCACCCCAGUGCUUAUUCAGACUAAGACAACCUCUCUUCAUUUCAGCUGGAGACUACAGCAGCUGCCCCAAUAAAGCAGCAUCUCACCUGCAUCAGCUGCACACAGAGGACACACAACAGCUAGCUCAUGAUGGCCACACAUCUUCCUAUAGUGACAGCAGGCACCAUCACCCUCUUUCUCCAUUCUCCUUGACACUGCAGCAGUGCUCCCACUUUAGAGCAGAGCAAUAAACAGGGAAUUUAGCUGUGCUGCCAGUGCUCCUCUUCCUCCUCGCCUUGAAGAUCACAAUCGUGGCAGAGAAAGAGCAAUUUCUGUGAACAGCCAUUGGCCACAUGCAGUGGCCUGCUGCUGCCUGCACUUGUACAAAACAGUGACAGAGGACAUUUGCACUGCAGUUCUCUGGAUGUCUGAGGAUGUGACUGUGGGAAGAUCUGCUGUCUACAGUUUGCGGUUCCAGCUGAUAAGCUGGCAUUUGGCUCAAGCACUGCAAACUUCCAUGUUUGCGACAAUGCAAAACGAGCUCAAGUGGUCACCAAGACUUCUGUGAUGCACCACAAGUCAGCAGGCAACUGAUAAUUACAUUCAUUGUACAUGUACAUACAUGAUACAUUCAAAAUCAACAUCAGAAGGUCAAAGAGGGUUUGGCUGUCCUGUGCCAACUGUAUCUUUAACAGGCAUAACACUUCUCCAGCUGAAAGGGAAACCUGGGCCUUAGUCAUUUGUACGUAAAGCUGUAACUUGUCCAAGACACUGCUGCAGCAUUUUAAGCCUGUGUACAUACAGGGCUCAGGACAUGCUCUGGCAUUAUGUAUGCUGCCAGUAGCAGCGCUGGUUUACUGGUGUCUCACACAAGCAGACAUCCAACUACCCAGCCACAUGUUCAUAUACAAGUUCGGUGUUGGCUGCAGCAGAGGCUACGGGGGAGCACUGUCAUAAGCCAAUGGACCAGCUUGUUGCAGGACUGCUCUACCUACAGGUCUGACACCUGCAAGCAGCUGCAGCAGCUGAGCACUUGACGUCCUCCUACUCCCCUUGAGGGAAGGAAGUACCUUUUGCAGCCUUUUAAACUAUCAUCUCAUCUUAAACUCACACCUCUUACACUUUACAAUUAUUUUUGUGGCCCACUUUAUCAAUUCCCAAUCAGGCACAGGACUUGCCCUUCCCACUGACUUUGGCCAGAAUGGAUUUGAAAAUUCCCUUGGCCUGAUCUGUUGCACUGGCAGAGAACCCCUCAUCAUUACUUACAGGCCACAGGGGAAGACUCAGAUGGAAGAAAUUGUUUUUCCCCAGCGUGGCUCCUCUGACCAGGAAUCGAAGUACUGAGAAAAGUUAGAGCAGCGUAGCACUGAAAAUACCCUGGUAACAGCCUCUGCUGUAGUUCCACAGCGCUCCUGU
rnacentral:lncRNA from 13 species